rnacentral:lncRNA from 1 species
GGGCAUGAAAAAGUAAAAUUCAAUCUUUCAUCAAGGUUUUCAUAUUUAUUUGUAUCUAAAAAAAUAUAUCUGAAAGAAAAAUAAGCAUUUUCCUUACAAAAAAAAGAAGUAAAAGCAAUCUUUUCCCUUAUAUACUGUCACAAUAAAGAGAGUUCAACUCAACAGGGGAAGAAACGAAAACUAGCCAGUAGGCAGAAGAGAGGUUAAUGACAGUUGAGAGGCUGAUCAUUGAAAGCAAAGAUGUCAAAAACAACAAAAUGAGAAAAAUA